UGGGGAAUAUUGCACAAUGGGCGCAAGCCUGAUGAAGCCAUGCCGCGUGUAUGAAGAAGGCCUUCGGGUUGUAAAGUACUUUCAGUCGGGAGGAAGGUGUCAAGGUUAAUAACCUUGGCAAUUGACGUUACCGACAGAAGAAGCACCGGCUAACUCCGUGCCAGCAGCCGCGGUAAUACGGAGGGUGCAAGCGUUAAUCGGAAUUACUGGGCGUAAAGCGCACGCAGGCGGUUGAUUGAGUCAGAUGUGAAAUCCCCGGGCUUAACCCGGGAAUUGCAUCUGAUACUGGUCAGCUAGAGUCUUGUAGAGGGGGGUAGAAUUCCAUGUGUAGCGGUGAAAUGCGUAGAGAUGUGGAGGAAUACCGGUGGCGAAGGCGGCCCCCUGGACAAAGACUGACGCUCAGGUGCGAAAGCGUGGGGAGCAAACAGG
rnacentral:rRNA from 1 species